GACAGAGGGUGCAAACGUUGCUCGGAAUCACUGGGCGUAAAGGGCGUGUAGGCGGGUAGAUAAGUCGGGCGUGAAAUCCCUAGGCUCAACCUAGGAACUGCACUCGAAACUGUUUAUCUUGAGUGCCGGAGAGGAAAGCGGAAUUCCUGGUGUAGAGGUGAAAUUCGUAGAUAUCAGGAGGAACACCAGUGGCGAAGGCGGCUUUCUGGACGGUAACUGACGGCUGAGACGCGAAAGCGUGGGGGAGCAAACAGGG
rnacentral:rRNA from 1 species